rnacentral:lncRNA from 10 species
CCAUGAGUCUGAGAAGUUUGAUCUCUGCUCUUAGAUUGUUGUCAUGUGUCAAAUCAUACAGCCCAGGGGGAAUGACUACAUUGCGCAGGAAAAACAGACAUCGAGCCGUGGUCAGACCACCUCAAAGAUAAACACUGCUGUGUGGACCAGAAGAAGAAAGGUCGAAAAACAAUCUGAAGCCUCAGACACUGAGUAAUAACAAAUAGAAAUACUACUUGUCUUUUGGAAUCUUUUUUUGCUGAAAAGUGUGAAGCGAUUCCAGAGAUAUUCUGAACAGAGGGACCCCAUCAGCAUGCAGUCCUAUAGGAGAAUGCAACCUGUCUGCACCUUCUUCCCAAGGGGGCCAGUGAAUGAAUGAACGAAAGAAUAAAUGAAUGAACAAACCAUUCAGCUACACACACUUAAUUUUACAGAGCAAAUGCCUACUAGUCAUGCGUUACUAUCCUAGCUUGAGGCCCAAUUAUUUCUCUAUCUAAAUAAUGUGGGUGUUUUCCUUGAUCAUAAAUGAAACGUGCUCAUUAUAAAAUGCUUAGAAGAUACAGAAAAGUAUAAAGAAGAAAAUAAAAGUCAUCCAUAAUCCUACCCCACAAAAAAGUCUUAUUAAUAUUGAGGUUUAUAUCAUACACGUGUUCCUCUGAGCUCAUAAACAUUACAUGGCUGAGAUCUUGUGUAUAUACAACUGGUAUCUGUAUUAGACAGAAUUCUAAGAUGAUCCCGGAAUCCACAUGGCUUUACGUAAUCCCUUCCCCCUUGAAUGUGGGCAGGUGGGACCUGUGACUAUUAUGGGCCAUCGCUUUCAUGAUUUGGUUAUGUUCCAUGGCAAGACUUUAAGGGUGGGAGAUGAUCCUGGGUUGGUCUGGCCUGUUCAGGUGAGUCUUGACAGAGAUUAGGCUUUUCCUGGAGACAGAUACGAAGCAUGAGAGGGACUUGAAACAAGGGAGAGUCUCCUUUGGUGACUGUGAAGAUAGAGAGCCCAACAUGGCAAAGAAUGCUAGAAGCCUCCAGAACCUGAGAGCAACCCCUAGUUGACACCCAGCAAGGAAAAUAGGGACCUUGGGCCUGCAACCACAGGAACUCAAUCCUACCAAAAAUAUGAAUGAGCUUGAAAGAAGACCCCAGCUCUAGAUGAGAACACAGCCUGGCCAACACCUUAAUUUUGGUCUUAUGAGACCCUGGGCAGAAAACCCAAACAAGACUGCUGGGGUUUUGGACCUACAGAACCAUGAGAUAGUAAAUGGGUGUUGCCGUAAGUGGCUAAACUUACAAUAAUUUGUUAUGCAGCAAUAGAAAAUAAUAUAGUGUUCUAUUUUUUCACUUUACAUUACAACUUGAACUUUGUCUCCUAUUAAUGUUAACUAAAAAUUUAAUGUCUAUGUCUAAUAUAUGU